AUUGAACGCUGGCGGCAGGCCUAACACAUGCAAGUCGAACGAGUGGCGGACGGGUGAGUAAUGUCUGGGAAACUGCCUGAUGGAGGGGGAUAACUACUGGAAACGGUAGCUAAUACCGCAUACCAUCGGAUGUGCCCAGAUGGGAUUAGCUAGUAGGUGGGUUAACGGCUCACCUAGGCGACGAUCCCUAGCUGGUCUGAGAGGAUGACCAGCAACACUGGAACGGAGACACGGUACAGACUCCUACGAGAGGCAGCAGUGGGGAAUAUUGCAAAAUGGGCGCAAGCCUGAUGCAGCCAUGCCGCGUGCAUGAAGAAGGCCAUCGGGUGGUAAAGUACGUUCAGCGGGGAGGCGUUACCCGCAGAAGAAGCACCGGCUAACUCCGUGCCAGCAGCCGCGGUAAUAC
rnacentral:rRNA from 1 species